rnacentral:rRNA from 1 species
UACAGAGGGGGCAAGCGUUGUUCGGAAUUACUGGGCGUAAAGGGCGCGUAGGCGGCCUUCUAAGUCGAACGUGAAAUCCCCGGGCUCAACCCGGGAACUGCGUCCGAUACUGGAAGGCUUGAAUCCGGGAGAGGGAUGCGGAAUUCCGAGGUGUAGCGGUGAAAUGCGUAGAUAUCUGGAGGAACACCGGUGGCGAAGGCGGCAUCCUGGGACCGGCAUUGACGCUGAGGCGCGAAAGCCAGGGGAGCAAACGGG